UAGGGAAUCUUCCGCAAUGGACGAAAGUCUGACGGAGCAACGCCGCGUGAGCGAUGAAGGUUUUCGGAUCGUAAAGCUCUGUUGUUAGGGAAGAACAAGUGCGAGAGUAACUGCUCGCACCUUGACGGUACCUAACCAGAAAGCCACGGCUAACUACGUGCCAGCAGCCGCGGUAAUACGUAGGUGGCAAGCGUUGUCCGGAAUUAUUGGGCGUAAAGGGCUCGCAGGCGGUCUUCUAAGUCUGAUGUGAAAUCUUGCGGCUUAACCGUAAGCGGUCAUUGGAAACUGGAGGACUUGAGUACAGAAGAGGAGAGUGGAAUUCCACGUGUAGCGGUGAAAUGCGUAGAGAUGUGGAGGAACACCAGUGGCGAAGGCGACUCUCUGGUCUGUAACUGACGCUGAGGAGCGAAAGCGUGGGGAGCAAACAG
rnacentral:rRNA from 1 species